rnacentral:rRNA from 1 species
UACGAGGGGGGCGAGCGUUGUUCGGAAUUAUUGGGCGUAAAGAGCUCGUAGGCGGUCUGUCGCGUCUGCUGUGAAAACUCGGGGCUUAACCCCGGGCCUGCAGUGGGUACGGGCAGACUAGAGUGCGGUAGGGGAGACUGGAAUUCCUGGUGUAGCGGUGAAAUGCGCAGAUAUCAGGAGGAACACCGGUGGCGAAGGCGGGUCUCUGGGCCGUAACUGACGCUGAGGAGCGAAAGCAUGGGGAGCGAACAGG